rnacentral:rRNA from 1 species
AUUGAACGCUGGCGGCAGGCCUAACACAUGCAAGUCGAACGGUAACAGGAAGCAGCUUGCUGCUUCGCUGACGAGUGGCGGACGGGUGAGUAAUGUCUGGGAAACUGCCUGAUGGAGGGGGAUAACUACUGGAAACGGUAGCUAAUACCGCAUAACGUCGCAAGACCAAAGAGGGGGACCUUAGGGCCUCUUGCCAUCGGAUGUGCCCAGAUGGGAUUAGCUAGUAGGUGGGGUAACGGCUCACCUAGGCGACGAUCCCUAGCUGGUCUGAGAGGAGGACCAGCCACACUGGAACUGAGACACGGUCCAGACGCCUAAGGGAGGCAGCAGGGGGGAAUAUUGCACAAUGGGCGCAAGCCUGAUGCAGCCAUGCCGCGUGUAUGAAGAAGGCCUGCGGGUUGUAAAGUACUUUCAGCGGGGAGGAAGGGAGUAAAGUUAAUACCUUUGCUCAUUGACGUUACCCGCAGAAGAAGCACCGGCGAACUCCGU